rnacentral:rRNA from 1 species
GACGAACGCUGGCGGCGUGCUUAACACAUGCAAGUCGAACGGAAAGGCCCUGCUUGCAGGGUGCUCGAGUGGCGAACGGGUGAGUAACACGUGGGUGAUCUGCCCCUUACUUUGGGAUAAGCCUGGGAAACUGGGUCUAAUACUGGAUAGGACCAUGCUGUAGGUGGUGUGGUGGAAAGAUUAGUUUCGGUAAGGGAUGAGCUCGCGGCCUAUCAGCUUGUUGGUGGGGUAAUGGCCUACCAAGGCGUCGACGGGUAGCCGGCCUGAGAGGGUGGACGGCGACAUUGGUGCUGAGAUACGGCCCAGAAGCCUACGGGGGGCAGCAGUGGUGAAGAUUGCACAAUGGGGGCAAGACUGAUGCAGCGACGCCGCGGGGUGGAUGACGGCCUUCGGGUUGUAAACUCCUUUCAGCCAUGACGAAGCCCUUGUGGUGACGGUAGUGGUAGAAGAAGCACCGGCUAACUACGUG